rnacentral:misc_RNA from 1 species
GAUGAAGAACGUAGCGAAAUGCGAUACGUAAUGAGAAUUGCAGAAUUCAGUGAAUCAUCGAAUCUUUGAACGCAUAUUGCGCUCUCUGGUAUUCCGGAGAGCAUGCUUGUUUGAGUAUCAGUAAACACCUCAACUCCCUUUUCUUUUUUGAAAUUGGAGCUGGACUUGAGUGAUCCCAACGCUUUCUUCCAAGAAAGUGGCGGGUUGCUUGAAAUGCAGGUGCAGCUGAACUUUUCUCUGAGCUAUAAGCAUAUCUAUUUAGUCUGCCUAAAAAACAGAUUAUUACCUUUGCUGCAGCUAACAUAAAGGAGACUAGUUCUUGUGCUGACUGAUGCAGGAUUCACAGAGACAGCUUCGGCUGACUUUGUAAACUCGAUCUCAAAUCAAAUAAGACUACCCGCUGAACUUAAGCAUAUCAAUAAGCGGAGGA